rnacentral:lncRNA from 1 species
AAUAGGCAGCCUUCACCUGGAUUUGCAAGGAAGGAGGGUGGAACUCAGAGGAAUUCAUUUGCCAAAAGUUGCACAGCCAGUUAGGAAGCCUGUCUUCCAAGUUCACUGCGCAGAAGGAGAUCUACCUGAGCGAACGAGAACACUGGGCAGCUCGGCACUAAAGGAACACCACGGGUUUAGGAACAGAGGCCUCCUUAAGAAGUUUGAAUGAAAUUUAGAAAGAAUCUGGCUGGGGAAAAUGAAAUGACCCCCGAGAGCUCCAAGUUCAUGCCAGGAUAGCUGGGAAGGCGGAAAGGCCAUGGCCGUGAACAUGGAGUGUGGUACUCAUGCCUUCGAACAUUUACUCUGGUAGCACAGGGAUGAUGGUGACUCUGCUCCUACUUUUAGACACCAGCGGAUGAAGGUGAUGGGACCAACAAUGAAAUGCUCUGUCCAGGCUUCAGACCAGUCCCCAUGGGCAGAAUUGUUCGCUCGCAGCUUCCUGAGAGAACCCACUGGAAGGUGUCUUAGGUUAUUCUAAUUUAUCCCUCAUUGAAAGGAACAAAAAGUCAUCAAGGUGGACGGCACACUGUGUAUCUCCAAACGGGCUCGUGAUUUCCUUCCGUGUCUUUUCCGGGCCUCUCUUUGCUCUCUGUGCCUCAGUUUUAUCAUCUGUAAAAUGAAUAUGAAACGCAAUGGCCCGAGGA